AGCCAUUGCCAUCUGGCUUUUUUUUGGCUAAUUAUUUACUGAUGCCAUAACUAUUUGUUGACUUUUUGCUGCUUUUGCACUAUCUUCUUUUAAUUCAAUGUUGGAUUUUUAUGUAACCGAUGAAUGAAUAGGUUUGGUGGGUUCCCUUUCUCAUUAUAGUUGCCUUAAGCAUAAUCAGCUUGGGUUUUGGAUUGGAUGAAUACAUUCUUAUCUUACCGUACGAGAAGACUGUUUUAAUGACUUGUCUAAUAGGUGUUUCUAUU
rnacentral:misc_RNA from 1 species